rnacentral:ncRNA from 2 species
GUGAUUGGUAGAGGAGCGAAAACCAUUAGUACAUGUUCUGAGGGUAAUGAGAACCGUUGAAGUUCAUGAAAAGGGGAAUUCGCCGAAGUGGAAGAAAGACUCAUCUUUCUUAUGCUGGACCUAUGUUGAAUAAGCAUAGGGCUGUCACAUGCUCAACCCAAGGAGUAUGUGGAGAACUAUCUCACGU